rnacentral:rRNA from 1 species
UAUUCCUACGGGAGGCAGCAGUGGGGAAUAUUGCACAAUGGGGGAAACCCUGAUGCAGCGACGCCGCGUGAGUGAAGAAGUAUUUCGGUAUGUAAAGCUCUAUCAGCAGGGAAGAAAUACUGACCUUACGGUCAGCAGACGGUACCUGACUAAGAAGCCCCGGCUAACUACGUGCCAGCAGCCGCGGUAAUACGUAGGGGGCAAGCGUUAUCCGGAUUUACUGGGUGUAAAGGGUGCGUAGGUGGCAGGGCAAGUCAGAUGUGAAAGCCCGGGGCUCAACCCCGGUACUGCAUUUGAAACUGUCC